AUGGAAGACAUUUUCUUGCUAGACAAGAAAUAUCAAGAGAUAUUCUCUAAACAGAAACAGUGUUAUGAUAUUGCCCAGCAUGAGGAGCAAUCUCAGCAGACCUAUAAGAGUCAGCAUGGAGAGCCCCUGCUAAUGGAGUAUAGCCGCCAGGAGCUACUCAGGAAGGAAUGUCUGGUCCUAACCAGUGAGCACUGGUUAGUACUGGUCCCCUUCUGGGCAACGUGGCCCUACCAGACACUGCUGCUGCCCCAUCGGCAUGCGCAGCAGCUACCUGAGCUGACCCCUGCUGAGCGUGAUGAUCUAGCCUCCAUCAUGAAGAAGCUCUUGACCAAGUACGACAACCUCUUUGAGACGUCCUUUCCCUAUUCCAUGGGCUGGCAUGGGGCUCCCACAGGAUCCGAGGCCGGGACCAACUGGGACCACUGGCAGCUGCAUGCUCAUUACUACCCUCUGCUCCUGCGCUCUGCCACUGUCCAGAAAUUCAUGGUUGGCUACGAAAUGCUUGCUCAGGCUCAGAGGGACCUCACCCCUGAGCAGGCUGCGGAGAGACUAAGGGCACUUCCUGAUGUUCAUUACAGCCUGGGGCAGAAGGACAGGGAGACAGCAACCAUCACCUAACUAUGCCGACCACAGGGCCUUGAAUCCUUUUUUUUUUUUUUUUUUUUUCAACAGUCUUGCUGAAUUAAGCAGAAAGGGCCUUGAAUCCUGGCCUGGAAUUUGGGCAGAUAUAGCAUUAA